GCGACGUUAGCUCAGCUGGAUCAGAGCGCCGGUUUACGAAGCCGGAGGUCGAAGGUUCAACUCCUUCACGUCGCGCCA
rnacentral:tRNA from 1 species